rnacentral:rRNA from 1 species
AGUGAACGCUGGCGGUAGGCCUAACACAUGCAAGUCGAACGGCACCACAGUAAGAGCUUGCUCUUACGUGUGGCGAGUGGCGGACGGGUGAGUAAUACAUCGGAAUCUACUUUUUCGUGGGGGAUAACGUAGGGAGACUUACGCUAAUACCACAUACGACCUACGGGUGAAAGCAGGGGAUCUUCGGACCUUGCGCGAUUGAAUGAGCCGACGUCGGAUUAGCUAGUUGGCGGGGGAAAGGCCCACCAAGGCGACGCUCGGUAGCUGGCCUGAGAGGAUGAACAGCCAGAUGGGCACAGAGACACGGUAGAGACUCCUACGGGAGGACGCAGUGGGGAAUAUUGCACGAGGGGGGAGAGCGUGAUCUAGGCAUAUCGCGUGAGUGAAGAAGGAGUUCGGGUUGUAAAGGGAUGUAGUUGGGAAAGAAAUGCAGCACGUUAAUACCCGGCUGUUCUGACGGUACCCAAAGAAUAAGCACCGGCUAACUUCGUG